rnacentral:misc_RNA from 1 species
GAUGAAGAACGUAGCGAAAUGCGAUAAGUAAUGUGAAUUGCAGAAUUCAGUGAAUCAUCGAAUCUUUGAACGCACAUUGCGCCCCCUGGUAUUCCGGGGGGCAUGCCUGUCCCAGCGUCAUUACAACCCUCAAGCUCAGCUUGGUAUUGGGCCCCGCCGACCCGGCGGGCCCUAAAGUCAGUGGCGGUGCCGUCCGGCUCCGAGCGUAGUAAUUCUUCUCGCUCUGGAGGUCCGGUCGUGUGCUCGCCAGCAACCCCCAAUUUUUUUCAGGUUGACCUCGGAUCAGGUAGGGAUACCCGCUGAACUUAAGCAUAUCAAUAAGCGGAGGA